UGGCGGCAUGCCUAAUACAUGCAAGUCGUACGCUGAAGCGCUCUGCUUGCAGAGCGCGGAUGAGUGGCGAACGGGUGAGUAACACGUGGGCAACCUGCCUGUAAGAUCGGGAUAACUCCGGGAAACCGGGGCUAAUACCGGAUAACCCGUGCCUCCUCCUGGAGGCGCGUUGAAAGGCGGCUUCGGCUGUCGCUUACAGAUGGGCCCGCGGCGUAUUAGCUUGUUGGUGGGGUAACGGCCCACCAAGGCGAUGAUACGUAGCCGACCUGAGAGGGUAAUCGGCCACACUGGGACUGAGACACGGCCCAGACUCCUACGGGAGGCAGCAGUAGGGAAUCUUCCGCAAUGGACGAAAGUCUGACGGAGCAAUGCCGCGUGAGUGAAGAAGGUCUUCGGAUCGUAAAGCUCUGUUGCCGGAGAAGAACAAGGACAGUAGUAACUGGCUGUCCCUUGACGGUAUCCGGCCAGAAAGCCACGGCUAACUACGUGCCAGCAGCCGCGGUAAUACGUAGGUGGCAAGCGUUGUCCGGAUUUAUUGGGCGUAAAGCGAGCGCAGGCGGUCCUUUAAGUCUGAUGUGAAAGCCCACGGCUCAACCGUGGAAGGUCAUUGGAAACUGGGGGACUUGAGUGCAGAAGAGGAAAGUGGAAUUCCCAUGUGUAGCGGUGAAAUGCGUAGAUAUAUGGAGGAACACCAGUGGCGAAGGCGACUUUCUGGUCUGUAACUGACGCUGAGGCUCGAAAGCGUGGGGAGCGAACAGGAUUANAUACCCUGGGUAGUCCACGCCGUAAACGAUGAGUGCUAAGUGUUGGAGGGUUUCCGCCCUUCAGUGCUGCAGUUAACGCAUUAAGCACUCCGCCUGGGGAGUACGGCCGCAAGGCUGAAACUCAAAGGAA
rnacentral:rRNA from 1 species